CCUACGGGCGGCUGCAGUGAGGAAUAUUGGUCAAUGGGAGCGAUCCUGAACCAGCCAAGCCGCGUGCAGGAAGACGGCCCUAUGGGUUGUAAACCUCUUUUGUCGGAGAACAAAACCCGGGACGUGUCCCGGACUGCGUGUAUCCGAAGAAUAAGGAUCGGCUAACUCCGUGCCAGCAGCCGCGGUAAUACGGAGGAUGCGAGCGUUAUCCGGAUUUAUUGGGUUUAAAGGGUGCGUAGGCGGUCCGUUAAGUCAGCGGUAAAAUUGCGGGGCUCAACCCCGUAGAGCCGUUGAAACUGGCGGGCUUGAGUGGGCGAGAGGUAGGCGGAAUGCGCGGUGUAGCGGUGAAAUGCAUAGAUAUCGCGCAGAACUCCGAUUGCGAAGGCAGCGUACCGGCGCCCGACUGACGCUGAGGCACGAAAGCGUGGGGAUCGAACAGGAUUAGAUACCCGAGUAGUC
rnacentral:rRNA from 1 species